UACAGAGGGUGCUAGCGUUGUUCGGAAUCAUUGGGCGUAAAGCGCACGUAGGCGGAUUUGUAAGUCAGGGGUGAAAUCCCGGGGCUCAACCUCGGAACUGCCUUUGAUACUGCAAAUCUCGAGUCCGGAAGAGGUGAGUGGAAUUCCUAGUGUAGAGGUGAAAUUCGUAGAUAUCAGGAAGAACACCGGUGGCGAAGGCGGCUCUCUGGGCCUUACCUGACGCUGAGGAGCGAAAGCGUGGGUAGCGAACAGG
rnacentral:rRNA from 1 species